AAUUACAAAUUAAAACUCAAAUAGAAAAGAGCGACAAGUGAGUGAGAACUUAGGGCACAUAAAUCUUUUGCCAAAAUUCCUCAAUUGAAUAAUCUGCUACCUUCCAAAUCUCUUCUGGUGUCAAAAUCUUGCCGUCAAAAAUCCAUUUAUUGUGGCUAGUCCAUAUUCUCCAGGUUAAGCACGCUAUCGAGUUUCGUCGUUUCCUUUGGUGACUAUCGUCAUUUGUUCUAUCAAAUAUCAUCUUCUACCAUUUACAAAACAGGUCAUUGUCGUCUUCCUCGUUCAGAUUAGCUACUGGGAUUUGAACUAGGUUCUAAACUUGUCUUGAGUGAAUACAGGAGGCCUUCGUGCAAAGCUUUUCACAACAGAACCUUCAUUUUCGCUGGGCACUUAAGGUCCCAGAGUGCUUAUUAAAUUCGCUUAUUUCGAAAAUGUGCUGGCAACAUUUCAAUUGGGACAUGGAAGAAAUGGAACCCCACCUCAUAUCCUAAUUUCACAAUGUAAGUCCCUUUUUUCUCCUUAAUCCAUUUGAUUCUGUCUUCUCCUGAAUGAAUCUGAGUUGUAUGACGUCAUGUGCAAUUUAUGGCUGAAAAUUGUUGUUAAUUAGUUCAAUGUUCUAAUUCCCAAAUUUUGUGAUGAGUUGAGCUACCCAAAUCAAAUUGAGGUUAAUUUGUUAGUCUUGCAUAUGUGAUAGCAAUUCCUGGUUUUCAACCCAAUGAUCCUCCCAAAUUCUGACCAUAGACCGUCUUCCAACUUGCCAUAUAACACUUUUUUUCUAAAAUUUUUCAACCUUCUAGUAAACUCCUCCAAGUCCAUGAUGGAUUGUGCCCUAUGUCAGCUUUUAGGAAGAAAGUGUGUCUGAAGUACUUACUCUUAAACACCUUUGUAACCAUUGAUUCGGAUUUGGUGACUAAACACCAUCCUUGUUUGCCAAGCAUAGCCAAGUUAAUUAAAAGUCUUGAGAUCCUUGAACCUCAAUCUUCCGUGUCCUUUUGGUUGGCAUAAAGUGUCCUACUUUAUCCAUUGCAUCUUUUUCUCCCAUGCUUUUGUCCCUACCAAAAAAAUGUCAACAAAUUAUAAAUCUUGUCCAUAAAAAUCUCAGGAAGUUUGAAACACUCAAAAGUAUAAAUUAGGAUUGCCGAACUAAUUGAUUUAAUUAAAAUUUCUCGACCACUAACUAAUAGCAAAGCUCUCUUCCAUUGCUACAGUUUUUUACUAACUUUUUUUGACAAAUUUAAAUGCUGAUUUUUUUACAGUAAUCAAUAGACCUAGAUAUUUGUUUUAGACACUCACAUUGAGGACCUGAAGAAUAUUCACAAGCGUCUUCUUUCUUAGAAUUCGCGAAGAUUGAACGAAACCAUUCUUCCUUGUCAUCAUAAACCCUAUCUCCCAAGUCAAACCAACAUUAUAUUUGAAACGAAAGAAAGAAGAAGCAGUGAGCAUUAAGUAAGUAAGUACCUGGGGUAGUAAUUGGUGGAGAGGUUAAUGAAUGUUUGAAGGCCGAGUUUCUGAAACAUAUUGAUUUCGUUGAUGGCGAAAGCGUUGUCCGUUGCCACUCCGCUCCAUCCGCCGCUUUCUGUCGCAGUUACUUUUAUUUCCUCGGUAUUCUUUACACACUUUUAUUCGGUAUCGGAGUAGGCACCUUAGUUUAUGGAUUCAGCGUCAUAUUAUAAUUGGACAUUUUUAUUAAACCGGUUCAUAAUUUAUUUUUUAAUAAAUCAGAACAAAAUCAGUUUAUUAUAGCAACAAUAAUAAACCCAAUUAUUUGCAUUAUAAUUAUUAAAUUUAAUUUGAUCCGAUCGAUUUAUACAAUCUGAGACGAAUUAUAUUUAAAUUUUUUGAUAAAAAGACAAAUAUCUCCUUGACUUUUAAUUUUAUGGACAUUUAAAUCUCUAAUAAUUUAAAAAUACACUUAGAUCCCUAAAAAAAUAGAUUUGGAUCCUCUAAAGUUUGAAUUUCACUUUAGAGAGUAAAGUGUGAUAUUCUAUCCUUGAAUAGUUUCUCUUUCAUAUUUAUUAUUGGUCCCACCUAUGAAAUCAAUGAUGAGAGAUCACACUUUACUCUCUAAAGUGAAAUUCAAACUUUAGAGGAUCUAAAUCCCAAAAAAAUUCUAACCUUAACCCCUUCUCCCAGCCCAAACCCAAAUCUAAGCACAAUCUCUCACUAUUCUAUCAAGCUGACCUAAAAAUUAAAAAGAUCUACCCCUAGCCUCUCCUUCCUCUCCCUUCUGUCAUUAAAGCUCGAGCUCUCAUCUCUUUGCUCACUGACUCAAUCUCAAGCUCUCUCCUAUCAAGCACUCAAGGUCCUCGUCGCUUUCCACAUCAUCAGUCGUCAUCGUCUCGGACUCAGUCGCGCUCGGACGCCCUCCAUGAGCUCGUCGUUGCCGGCAGAAGAAGCAGCUGGCAGGAGUUACUAGAGCUCGUGUAAAGGGUGCAAGGUUUUGCUUAUCUCAGAGGUGAGGCAAGUGCUGAACCAAAUGGAUGUAAGGCCAAAACUAGUUGUCCCUCUGGAACUCUUGAAUGAGAAGGACGCAAGGACAUUGUUCAAUAAAAUAGCAGGAAUAGGUGACAAAAGCACUGCAUUUGGAGAAUUGUCAGCUCAGAUUAUCAAAAAAUGUGAUGGAUUACCUAUGUCGUUAGUUACAACUGCAAAGGUCUUGAAAGGCCGAAGUCGGUUGGUUUGGCUAGAUAUUUAUCAGAAGUUUGAAGCGCAGACAAUUACAAGAACACCUGAGCAUUCUACACGGAUGAUUUACAACCUAUUAGAAAACGAGGAGCUUAGGAUAACCUUUUUGCUUUGUGCUUGUAUGAUAACGAUACAUUAGUUUCAAAUCUGAUGAGAGCAUGCAUUGGAUUGGGUUUUCUUCGUGGGAUCUACACAAUGAGGGACACCAAAACCAGAGUGCAAGUGAUGCUUAUGAAGCUCAGAGAGUCAGGGUUGUUGUUCGACAGCUAUUCGAGUGACCAUUACACGAUGCAAAAUCUUGGUUUUAGUAGUUUUUGAAGGGCUACGGCGGUAUAUGCUGAGAACAUUCAUGUCAUUGAAACACAUUAUGGCAAAUGUGGUGGAUAGAAACCAUGGUCAUAUUGUGCAACCUCCUCCACGGCAGAGCACUCCAUUAAACAGUCGCUUGAGUGCGGCUGGUCCUGCAAUGCGAAAACAGCUGCUGUUGUUGGGGAGGCAUUGGCCAUGCGGCUCAAAGUUGAGGGACUUAAGGAUGGACAAGGAAGAGGAAUUCAUGUCAAUGUAACUAAGGAAAUAGAGUAGUAAGGAUAACAACAUAUACACACAUCUCUUUCGACUACGAGGAACUUUGUUUACACAAAGAACUUUCACACAUUAACACUUGAAGGCAUCCCAAUUUUUGGGCUUCAAAAUAAAUCAGAUGCACAUGGAUGUUCAAACUUUGCCUUUUGUGAGUGAUUGUUGAAUUUUAUCAAUGUUUUACAUUUAAUUGUAUGUUUUUCUCAAUACAAGAGUCAUAAAAGCUAGCUAUAUAGCAGCGAAUCACCCCUGUUUCCUCUGAUGUACAAAUUUCUGUUCCCAUCAGCAGGCCAGGGGUGUUUUAGUUAGCGUAAGAGUUACAAGCAUUGCUCAAAAAAUAAUGUGCAAUUGAAUGGUUCAUUAUAAAAUAUCAAACAAAGA